GUCUCCGUUGGUGAACCAGCGGAGGGAUCAUUACCGAGUUUACAACUCCCAAACCCUUAUGUGAACCGUACCUAUCGUUGCUUCGGCGGGAACGCCCCGGCGCCCUGCGCCCGGAUCCAGGCGCCCGCCGGAGACCCCAAACUCUUGUGUUUUUUUCAGUAUUCUCUGAGUGGCAAACGCAAAAAUAAAUCAAAACUUUUAACAACGGAUCUCUUGGCUCUGGCAUCGAUGAAGAACGCAGCGAAAUGCGAUAAGUAAUGUGAAUUGCAGAAUUCAGUGAAUCAUCGAAUCUUUGAACGCACAUUGCGCCCGUUAGCAUUCUAGCGGGCAUGCCUGUCCGAGCGUCAUUUCAACCCUCAGGGUCCCCGUUCCGGCGGGGAACCUGGUGUUGGGGAUCGGCCCGCCCCGCGCGGCGCCGUCCCCCAAAUUCAGUGGCGGUCUCGCUGCAGCCUCCCCUGCGUAGUAGUUACAACCUCGCAUCGGAGCUCAGCGCGGCCACGCCGUAAAACCCCCGACUUUCUGAACGUUGACCUCGGAUCAGGUAGGAAUACCCGCUGAACUUAA
rnacentral:rRNA from 1 species